GACGAACGCUGGCGGCGUGCUUAACACAUGCAAGUCGAACGGGCCCGCCCCUGUUUUUGGGGGUGGGUUGAGUGGCGAACGGGUGAGUAUCACGUGAGUAACCUGCCCCCUGCUCCUGGAUAACUGCUUGAAAGGGCGGCUAAUACGGGGUGUGCCGGCUGGUCCGCAUGGGCCUGGUCGGGAUAGUUUCAUCUUCGGGUGUUUCGGUGGGGGAUGGGCUCGCGGCCUAUCAGCUUGUUGGUGGGGUGAUGGCCCACCAAGGCGGUGACGGGUAGCCGGCCUGAGGGGGUGGGCGGCCACACGGGGACUGAGACACGGCCCAGACUCCUGCGGGAGGCAGCAGUGGGGGGUAUUGCACAAUGGGCGGAAGCCUGAUGCAGCGACGUCGCGUGAGGGAGGGAGGCCUUCGGGUUGUGAACCUCUUUCUCCGGUGGUGAAGGCCCUGUCCGUUGCGGCGGGGUUGACGGUAGCCGGGUAUGAAGCGCCGGCUAACUACGUG
rnacentral:rRNA from 1 species